rnacentral:rRNA from 1 species
UUAACAAAAACAUGUCUUUUUGAGUUAUUUUUAAAGUCUGACCUGCCCACUGAAAUUAUUUAAAUGGCCGCAGUAUUCUAACUGUGCAAAGGUAGCAUAAUCAUUAGUCUUUUAAUUGAAGGCUGGUAUGAACGGUUGGACGAGGUAUAAGCUGUUUCAUGUAGAUUUAUAAUAGAAUUUUAUAUUUUAGUUAAAAAGCUAAAAUUAAAUUAAAAGACGAGAAGACCCUAUAAAUCUUUAUACUUUAUGUUGUUUAAAUUUUUUAGACUUUGUUUAUUUUUAUGUUUUAAAGUAUUUUGUUGGGGUGAUAUUAAAAUUUAAUGAACUUUUAAUUAUUAAAAAUCAUUAAUUUAUGAGUUAUUGAUCCACUAAUAGUGAUUAUAAGAUUAAGUUACUUUAGGGAUAACAGCGUAAUUUUUUUGGAGAGUUCAUAUCGAUAAAAAAGUUUGCGACCUCGAUGUUGGAUUAAGAUAUAUUUUUAGGUGUAGCCGCUUAAAUAUUAAGUCUGUUCGACUUUUAAAUUCUUACGUGAUCUGAGUUC